AUGAUCCACCAAUCAGAUGACAGGGAUUUAUUCAGGUGUUUUAUAAAGAGAGACAAUUAAUGGAGGUGGCAGUGACUAAUUAAUUACUUGUGUAAAUAAUUGUAAUUUAUUAGAUACUAUUAUGAAUAUUAGUAUUUGCAUUUGCAACUGUAUACCUUUUACCGACAUGAAAUAAAUGUUGAACAAUGAGAUUUAUAGUUAACAAGGGGUAAAUUAAGCUUCAAAAUCAAACAAGCCCAAUGAUAUGUCCCACAGUGACCAAAGAAUGGCCCAGCAGGGGUUGGUCACAAUAGUAAAGUUCCCCAUUCCUCAAUGCCCCAUGCGCACGUAAAAAAAACAAGGUAACACUCAUCGCUAAGAGAAGGAGUUUGCCCGGUGUUUUUGGCAGUGGCUGCUUAAUGCGUUGCAGCAGCUUGUGAACUUUUUUUUCUUGAAGAGGUAGAAGAAGACAAAAUCGACCGCGAGAAAAGGCAACACACGCGAACCGCAGAUAAAUUGUUUUUAUAUAUCUUGUAUGAUUUCCUGUAAAAUAUUGUGCAGGGAUGCUGAGCAAGAGCUUGCGACCAAUAUCCGCCGUCUGCAAAUUGAACAGUGAGCUUCUUAAAACUAACCAAAAGAUGGAGAGGCAGCUUGGCGACACCAGAGCCAACCUGGCUGCCUCCAGGCAAGAGUGCAGCGGCCUGAAGCAAUCCAUUGCACAGGUUCCAAUCUGAAGUCCAUCCAGAUGAUUCUUAAUAAGACAGCAGACGGUACAGGCAUAGACUCCAACACCCUGGCCUUACAGAUGAAGGGCCAUCCUGAGCUGAGGGACAAGCUUCAUGUCGUCACCUCUUGAGGGCCUUUGCCUGUCUACCCUGGGGUGGUCAACUCAGAAUUACCUGAGGAUCUCAAGACAUCUAUCACCAGGCAUCUUCUCAACAUGCAUCUCGACCCCAAAUGGCAAGCUCAACUGAACCAAUACAUGGUGUCCAAA